AAAACUCUCUCUCUUUUUCUCUCUUUUCGGCUGGGAAUUUGGGGUGCUAAAGCUGGGUUUUUCCUUCAAUUCUCAAAGCUAAUUCAUCCUAAUUGUGAUCCCUUGUUGUGGAGCCAGUAAUCCGCCGUUCAGCUUCAGUUCCAGUCAGGUUGACCGGCACACCUGAAAUCGGAAUCCAGGUAAAGGCAAGGCAGUUGCUGAUGGACCGUGAGCGAGCUUAUGGGAUUGUACAUGUCGGGGCGGUUAGGCCUGGAGCGUACGAUCCUCGGGACAGCAGGGCUGAGAUUUUUGUAACGGUCGUUAGAUGACCUCAUUUUGAUGUAAAAGUUGAAUAGUGAAAACGUUUGUAAAUAUUUUUAUAAAUCGGGAUCCCGAGACUUUUUGGUAAAAUGGUUUAUAAGUUUAAUGAAAAAGCAAA